rnacentral:rRNA from 1 species
CGGCGAGUGAAGCGGGAAGAGCUCAAAUUUGAAAGCUGGCACCUUCGGUGUCCGCGUUGUAAUCUCGAGAAGUGUUUUCCGUGCUGGACCAUGUACAAGUUCCUUGGAAUAGGACGUCAUAGAGGGUGAAAAUCCCGUACUUGACAUGGACGCCCAGUGCUUUGUGAUACACUCUCCACGAGUCGAGUUGUUUGGGAAUGCAGCUCAAAAUGGGUGGUAAAUUCCAUCUAAAGCUAAAUAUUGGGGAGAGACCGAUAGCGAACAAGUACCGUGAGGGAAAGAUGAAAAGCACUUUGGAAAGAGAGUUAAACAGUACGUGAAAUUGUCGAAAGGGAAGCGCUUGAAGUUAGACAUGCUUGCCGGGAUUCAGCCUUGCUUUUGCUUGGUGCAUUUCCCGGUGUGCAGGCCAGCAUCAGUUUUGUUUGCCGGAUAAGGGUGAGAGGAACGUGGCCCCUCGGGGUGUUAUAGCCUCUCACUGGAUACGGCGGAUGGGACUGAGGACCGCAGUGUGCCUUUAUGGCGGGCCUUCGGGCACCUUCACACUUAGGAUGCUGGCGUAAUGGCUUUAAGCGACCCGUC